ACUAUUUUGGCAGAUUAGUGCAAUAGAUUUAGGAUCUUUAUAUAGAUUUAAUAUCUAAAUAGUA
rnacentral:tRNA from 1 species